AACGCUGGCGGCGUGCUUAACACAUGCAGGUCGAACGAUGAAAGUCGUUUUGAUAUCUUCGGAUUGAUAAACUUCUGGAUUAGUGGCGGACGGGUGAGUAACGCGUGAGCAAUCUGCCUUACACAAAGGGAUAGCCUCGGGAAACCGGGAUUAAUACCGUAUAAGACUCCGACAUCUCAUGAUGAUGAAGUCAAAGCGUUAGCGGUAAGAGAUGGUCUUGCGUCUGAUUAGCUAGUUGGUGGGGUAACGGCCUACCAAGGCAACGAUCAGUAGCCGGCUGGAGAGAGUGUACGGCCACAUUGGGACUGAGACACGGCCCAGACUCCUACGGGAGGCAGCAGUGGGGAAUUUUGCACAAUGGGGGAAACCCUGAUGCAGCGACGCCGCGUGAUUUAGAAGG
rnacentral:rRNA from 2 species